AAUGACGGUACCCACAGAAGAAGCCCCGGCUAACUUCGUGCCAGCAGCCGCGGUAAUACGAAGGGGGCUAGCGUUGUUCGGAUUUACUGGGCGUAAAGCGCACGUAGGCGGAUUGUUAAGUCAGGGGUGAAAUCCUGGAGCUCAACUCCAGAACUGCCUUUGAUACUGGCAAUCUCGAGUCCGGAAGAGGUAAGUGGAACUCCUAGUGUAGAGGUGGAAUUCGUAGAUAUUAGGAAGAACACCAGUGGCGAAGGCGGCUUACUGGUCCGGUACUGACGCUGAGGUGCGAAAGCGUGGGGAGCAAACAGGAUUAGAUANCCUGGUAGUCCACGCCGUAAACUAUGAGAGCUAGCCGUUGGGACGUUUACGUCUCAGUGGCGCAGCUAACGCAUUAAGCUCUCCGCCUG
rnacentral:rRNA from 1 species